rnacentral:rRNA from 1 species
UACGUAGGGGGCGAGCGUUAUCCGGAAUUACUGGGCGUAAAGCGCACGCAGGCGGUUCGCUAAGUUUGGAGUGACAGUUGUCGGCUCAACCGACAAAGGACUUCAAAAACUGGUGAACUUGAGGACGAGAGAGGAACAUGGAACUCCAGGUGUAGUAGUGAAAUGCGUAGAUAUCUGGAAGAACACCAAUGGCGAAGGCAAUGUUCUGGCUCGUUUCUGACGCUAAGGUGCGAAAGCCAGGGGAGCGAACGGG